GUUGUUAAAGAAGAACACCUUUGAGAGUAACUGUUCAAGGGUUGACGGUAUUUAACCAGAAAGCCACGGCUAACUACGUGCCAGCAGCCGCGGUAAUACGUAGGCGGCAAGCUGUUCUCCGGAUCGAUUCGCCCGGUAAAGCGAGCGCAGCCCGUUUUUUAAGUGCUGAUGCGAAAGCCUUCCGCUCAACCGGAGAAGUGCAUAGGAAACUGGGAAACUUGAAUGCAGAAAACGACAAUGGAACUCCAUGUGUAGCGGUGGAAUGCGUAGAUAUAUGGAAGAACACCAGUGGCGAAGGCGGCUGUCUAGUCUGUAACUGACGCUGAGGCUCGAAAAGCAUGUGGUAGCGAACAGGAUUAGAUACCCUGGUAGUCCAUGCCGUAAACGAUGAGUGCUAAGUGUUGGAGGGUUUCCGCCCUUCAGUGCUGCAGCUAACGCAUUAA
rnacentral:rRNA from 2 species